CCUACGGGAGGCAGCAGUGGGGAAUCCUGCGCAAUGGGCGAAAGCCUGACGCAGCAACGCCGCGUGCGGGAAGAAGGCUUUCGGGCUGUAAACCGCUUUCAGCAGGAACGAAAAUGACGGUACCUGCAGAAGAAGGAGCGGCCAACUAUGUGCCAGCAGCCGCGGUGAUACAUAGGCUUCAAGCGUUGUCCGGAUUUAUUGGGCGUAAAGAGUUCGUAGGCGGUCGAGUAAGUCGGGUGUGAAAAUUCUGGGCUCAACCCAGAGACGCCACCCGAUACUGCUUGACUUGAGUUCGAUAGGGGAGUGGGGAAUUCCUAGUGUAGCGGUGAAAUGCGCAGAUAUUAGGAGGAACACCGGUGGCGAAGGCGCCACUCUGGAUCGAUACUGACGCUGAGGAACGAAAGCAUGGGUAGCAAACAGGAUUAGAUACCCUGGUAGUCCAUGCCGUAAACGGUGGGCACUAGGUGUGGGUUUCUAUUAACGAAAUCCGCGCCGUCGCUAACGCAUUAAGUGCCCCGCCUGGGGAGUACGGUCGCAAGCUAAAACUUAAAGAUAGUAAGGCGUGUUGAGUAGCGACGAGACGACGACGGAGGGAGGAG
rnacentral:rRNA from 1 species